UUUUACGGCCAUACCACCCUGAGCACGCCCGAUCUCGUCUGAUCUCGAAGCUAAGCAGGGUCGGGCCUGGUUAGUACUUGAUGGGAGACCGCCUGGGAAUACCCGUGCAGUAAGCU
rnacentral:rRNA from 1 species